UAUUCAUCCCAUGCGGGAAGGAUGAGAAGCUUCGACUAAGGUUCGAUUCUAGCGAAGCGAGAAAGCGUUGCCGCAGGCAACGACCCGAAGGGCGAGGCGCAACGCGCCGAGUAAUCCUUCCCCCACCACCA
rnacentral:sRNA from 1 species